CUGAUCAGUGCUUUAGUUUAUAAUGUCGUUGUCCACCUUUAGAGGUCACUCUGAUCUCUGUUCCCACUGAUCAGUGCUUUAGUUUAUAAUGUCGUUGUCCACCUUUAGAGGUCACUCUGAUCUCUGUUCCCACUGAUCAGUGCUUUAGUUUAUAAUGUCGUUGUCCACCUUUAGAGGUCACUCUGAUCUCUGUUCCCACUGAUCAGUGCUUUAGUUUAUAAUGUUGUUGUCCACCUUUAGAGGUCACUCUGAUCUCUGUUCCCACUGAUCAGUGCUUUAGUUUAUAAUGUUGUUGUCCACCUUUAGAGGUCACUCUGAUCUCUGUUCCCACUGAUCAGUGCUUUAGUUUAUAAUGUCGUUGUCCACCUUUAGAGGUCACUCUGAUCUCUGUUCCCACUGAUCAGUGCUUUAGUUUAUAAUGUCGUUGUCCACCUUUAGAGGUCACUCUGAUCUCUGUUCCCACUGAUCAGUGCUUUAGUUUAUAAUGUCGUUGUCCACCUUUAGAGGUCACUCUGAUCUCUGUUCCCACUGAUCAGUGCUUUAGUUUAUAAUGUCGUUGUCCACCUUUAGAGGUCACUCUGAUCUCUGUUCCCACUGAUCAGUGCUUUAGUUUGUAAUGUCGUUGUCCACCUUUAGAGGUCACUCUGAUCUCUGUUCCCACUGAUCAGUGCUUUAGUUUAUAAUGUUGUUGUCCACCUUUAGAGGUCACUCUGAUCUCUGUUCCCACUGAUCAGUGCUUUAGUUUAUAAUGUUGUUGUCCACCUUUAGAGGUCACUC